CGGGUAAAACUCCUGCUUGUUACCGUUUCACCUGGCCGGAGCCGGGUGUCGUUUUGGUGUCUGAUUCGGUAAGGAAUCGGGAGCACCAUCUGCGUAGGCUUAGAAACAUCCCGGUUUAAGGCUUGCGCCGCCUACGGUCUUGGAUAGCCCCCGCCAGGCAGGGACCCCAAUCUUUCCAGCCGGCGGACGAAUCCGCCG
rfam:Pseudomonas alcaligenes NBRC 14159 DNA, contig: PA6043.